AUUCAGAUGACAAGUUCCAAAUGGGACGAAAUGUAUAUCCUGGAU
rnacentral:hammerhead_ribozyme from 1 species